rnacentral:other from 1 species
GGUGCUCUGGGGGUCGUCAUUUUAUCAUUUGGACCCUACAGUCAAAUGCCCAGGGGGCUGUCCCUGUCAGCGGUGUGCAAGCCUGGUUUUCCAGGAAGCCUAAAACUGACAUACGGUGCCCACUUUUAAACUUGGGUUCCAUUGACACUGGCGGUUUCCAGAGCACAA